ensembl:lncRNA CASC2 cancer susceptibility 2
GGCCCAGUGGCGGGUCCUAGGGACGUGGGUACCUGCAGAGGCCGGCAGAUGGAGAUUCAGAAACAUAAGGACAACAAGAAACUUCCCCAAGGUAUCAUUAUAGUCUUUAGACUUCAGACACACACCACACCUCAAAUAUAUACACAACUGAAAGAGCCAGAAAAUGCAUGACACAGGAGAAGAUGUACCCUCAUCUGUUCAGUGAGAGAUGUGCAAAUCAACAUCAACACAGAACUGCUGAAGAAAAAAAAUAUGUCUCUGAAAAGCAACUUAUUCACUGGAGAUGUGAGGAGCCAUCCGCACAUCACAAUUCUAUAGACAUCAAACGCAUGAAGCAUUUCGGAUCUGCUUUAAGACUGAGGCAGACUUUCCAUCUGGACACAGCCGACCAUCCAUGUGUCAUUACAAUGAAUCCAGCACUUCCCUGGAAGCUGGAAGGGUCAAAUUCAACUUCAACUCUGCCACUUCCUGCUUAACUUGCUGUUUAACCUUGGGCAAGCUGCCAUCCCACACGAGGCCGAAGGUGUCGGUUUUUAAAAUACAGAAAUUUGGUUCCAUGAGGGAUUAUCAAUAUACUGCUGGUGGGCCAAAUUCCAUCUGCUACUUGCCUUUGUAAAUAAAGUUUUAUUGAAACACAAACAUGCCCAUUAGUUUACUCUUGUCUGUGACUACAAGGGCAAAGUUGAAUAGUUGUUACAGAGACCAUCAGGCUCACAAAGCCUAGGUUAUUUACUAUCUGCCCAUUUACAGAGUAAGUUUGCCAGCCCUGGACUGGAUAAUUUUUUGAGUUCUUUCUAAUUCUAGAAUUCUUUAUAUAUUUUAUGAAACCCCUAAUGUUUAUAUAUUAAUUAUUUCAAUACCCGUGUCUUUACUGAGUCCCUCCUAUGAAGCAUACAUCAAGACAUAUGUGUGAUACAUUAACUAAACUUUUAACAGUAUCUUAAAUAGGAUUUCAAU